rnacentral:rRNA from 1 species
GGGGAAUCUUGCGCAAUGGACGAAAGUCUGACGCAGCGACGCCGCGUGGGUGACGAAGGCCUUCGGGUUGUAAAGCCCUGUGGGGCGAGACGAACAGCUUCUGGUCGAACAGGCCAGGGGUUUGACGGUAUCGCCUUAGCAAGCACCGGCUAACUCUGUGCCAGCAGCCGCGGUAAUACAGAGGGUGCAAGCGUUAUUCGGAAUUAUUGGGCGUAAAGAGCGUGUAGGUGGUUGAGUAAGUUUGAUGUGAAAGCCCUAGUCUCAAGCUAGGAAGUGCAUUGAAUACUAAUCGGCUAGAGUACAGGAGAGGUUAGUGGAAUUCCAGGUGUAGAGGUGAAAUUCGUAGAUAUCUGGAGGAACAACAGUGGCGAAGGCGACUAACUGGACUGUAACUGACACUAAGGCGCGAAAGCGUGGGGAGCAAAC